GCCUCCGGACAUACCGGUCUGAAAGUGCCUGAUCUUGUCAGAUCUCAAAAGCCAUGCAGACUCAGGCCUGGUUAGUACUUGUAUGGAAGUCCAACUAAGAACCUCAGUGCCGCAAGCU